GCCCGUGUAGACGAAUGGCACGUCGCCCUCUAAUCCUAAGCACCUUGAAAGAGGGAGGAGGGGGUUCGAUUCCUCCCGCGAGCA